ensembl:lncRNA
GGCGAGCUGGACCCUAACUCGGCAACGCAGGGUGCAGGGCCGUAAGGGGAGGGAACACACCCAGGGCGGGAUGCCAGUCUGCCGCAAAGCACCCCAGGCAGGACUUGAGCCCCAGACCCACCGGAGAGCAGGCCCUAGCCAAGCCCGCUGCGCCAUCGAGCCCCCUGCCACAGAAAUCCGUAAUUACAAACCUGGGACUUUCAGUGCAAGAUGUGCUCCUUCACAAGGUUGCCGGACCUGUCAAUUCUCUGUUAGGGCCCUGCGAGCCAAUGUUAUUGGCACUGAACCACAGGACUGUCCUUCCCAGCAGCAACGACCAGGAAGUACGAGUCAGAAUUGGCCACAGAUUAGGGUGCACGGCCCUUUUAAACACAUCUCCCAUUGCGAAAGACACUCCCGUAUAUUUGCGUAUAAAUAGACUGAGAAGGUACCUUUCUUUGAGCAAGACUUUCCACAGACAUUUAAAGUCUAGGUUCUGUUAUGCUGCAGAUCACCCCCUUCCAAGGAACACGAUACAUGACUGUAACAGUACCUGAUCCUGUGAAACUAUUUCACGACUGCCACAAAUGCUUCACACAUACUGAACAGAGGUGAACCCAUGUGCCCCAUCCAGCCCUUACCUACUAAUGCUGCCAAGGUUUUUCCAUAGGACACCUGAUACGCCCCUGGUAAAGCGAAGAGGAAUUAAAGAGAAAGAAAUGUGCAAAAUGAAGGGCUGUUUCUGACCCUUGCCUUACAUUUCUCACCAUCCUGCAUCACAUGUCACACUCCCAACUUAAAUCAAUGCUCUGUUGUUACAGUCGAUAUACCAUGUUUCAACUUGCAUACUGGCAAUAUCUCACAAACUUUGUAGAACACCAAGAUCUGAAUCUAGCAAAUAUGUAAAUAGUCCCAUAGUGAGAAGACUGUAGGUACAGGUCACUGACUCACUGCUUAGUCAUAGAAGUGGUUAAUAGUGUGUGGAAAGUAUUAAAAGCAGACAUAGGCAACGUGCACUUCACUGCCAUGGUCCUGAGGAAUAGCUUCUUCAUUGCAAUUCAUGUACUCAGCUUCCACUGUGAACUGCGCACUUCACGAACUGUUUAUGUUUCUUUUCUGCAAUGGACUGAUUUAUUUCUUUUCAGUGUUAAUGGAUUCCCACCAUACCCUCAUGUAUUUCUGUGGCUUCAAACUAAAGCACCUGCAGUGUACCCAUAAUGAAACAAAAUUUAUUUCAAGUCACAAGCAAUAGGAGGACUCAAUAAUGCUUGCUGAAGAGGCCUUAAAGUCCAACAAAAGGACUGUUGCUGGGAAUAUGGCAGCAUACUCCAUAUUCCAUGUGAUCACCUACUUUGGAUAAAUGCUGUACACUCAUUGUUCUCCAUUUUCAUUCAAAAAGACUUUGUACACUACCUUUGGCACGGCUUGACUGGACCGGAUCCUUAUCAAACAGUGAUAAGCCAGACUUUGUGUAGCUCUUGGAGCCGUCUGGAAGAAAAAGAAAAAAAAAAGCUUAGCUAGAAUAGGUGACAGAUUGAAAUGAUUUGUGAGAAACUUUUCAUGGUUUCUCUUUGUAAACCCACUCACCUGCCAGCCAACCUGCCCCCGCCGCCUCCCCCCACCCCCCCAAUCCCCCAUAGCCCACACCCUUCAGAUGAAAUUUCACCCCACACAGUGUAAGGGUGUCAUUAUAAAGCUAUAUGCAUGCGAAAACCCUGAACCUCCAAGCAGUCUGAAAAGCAGGAGAUACUUGCCAUGGUGCCAUAUCAAUAGAGGGAAACAAAUGCCCAGACACUUCUGGAGAGGCCCAUACCUUCCCAGGAUAACACAUAGGAACAGGGGAAUUGUCCAUAGUAAAAAUAAUGUCCUUGUGCAGUGAUGUCUCCAGCAUAUUUAAUUUAAAUAAAAAAUUAUUUACAGCACA